rnacentral:rRNA from 1 species
AUUGAACGCUGGCGGAAUGCUUUACACAUGCAAGUCGAACGGCAGCACGGACUUCGGUCUGGUGGCGAGUGGCGAACGGGUGAGUAAUACAUCGGAACGUGCCCAGUCGUGGGGGGUAACGUAGCGAAAGCUACGCUAAUACCGCAUACGAUCUACGGAUGAAAGCGGGGGAUCGCAAGACCUCGCGCGAUUGGAGCGGCCGAUGGCAGAUUAGGUAGGUGGUAGGGUAAAGGCCUACCAAGCCGACGAUCUGUAGCUGGUCUGAGAGGAUGAUCAGCCACACUGGGACUGAGACACGGCCCAGACUCCUACGGGAGGCAGCAGUGGGGAAUUUUGGACAAUGGGCGCAAGCCUGAUCCAGCCAUUCCGCGUGCAGGAUGAAGGCCUUCGGGUUGUAAACUGCUUUUGUACAGAACGAAAAGGCUCUGGUUAAUACCUGGGGCUCAUGACGGUACUGUAAGAAUAAGCACCGGCUAACUACGUGCCAGCAGCCGCCGUAA